UAGUUGUUGUUUCAAGUUGUGAUUAAUGUUUGUGUUAAAACUGUCCACAGUUUUGCUCUUAAAUAUGAUUUUUAUUAAUUGUAUGUAGAUGUCUAAAAGAUUGUUGUAGUUUUUGUUUCAAGUGGUGACUUAUGUUUAAGUUGAAUGUAUUUUUGCUCCUGAAAUGUGUAUUAACA